ensembl:lncRNA
GGGGAAGAGGAAAGAUGAGAGAAUGAUCAGUUGGAAUAGGAUGAUGAAGAAGAGGAAAGAGUGGAAGAGGAGAGGAGGAGGAAGAGGAGAGGAGGCGGAAGAGGAGAGGAGGAGGACAAUGGCGCGGAGUUGGAAGAAGAGGAUGAAGAAGAGGAAAGAGUGAAGAGGAUGGAGAGGAUAUAGUCAGAGAGAGAGAAAAAGAAAGAAAGAAAGAAAGAGAGAGAGAGGAAAGAGUGAAUACCAAAGACAAGAGUAGCACAGAGUAGAGAGGAGGAUGACAAAAUCAUGAAAAGAUGAUCAUAGAGAGAGAGUUGUCUAAAGAGGAUAGAGAGAGAGAGAGAGAGAGAGAGGUGUCUGAAGAGGAGAAAGAGAGAGAGGAGAGAGAGGUGUCUAAAGAGGAGAGAGAGGUGUCUGAAGAGGAGAGAGAGGUGUCUAAAGAGGAGAGAGAGAGUUGUAUGAAGAGGAGAAAGAGAGAGAGGAGAGAGGGGUGUCUAAAGAGGAGAGAGAGGUGCCUGAAGAGGAGAGAGAGGUGUCUAAAGAGGAGAACGAGAGAGAGAGAGAGGUGUCUGAAGAGGAGAAAGAGAGAGAGGCGAGAGAGGUGUCUAAAGAGGAGAGAGAGGUGUCUAAAGAGGAGAGAGAGAGAGAAGAGAGAGGUGUCUGAAGAGGAGAAAGAGAGUUGUCUGAAGAGGAGAAAGAGAGAGAGGAGAGAGAGGUGUCUAAAGAGGAGAGAGAGAGUGAGAGAGAGGUGUCUGAAGAGGAGAAAGAGAGAGAGGAGAGAGAGAGAGAGGAGAGAGAGAGAGAGAGAGGUGUCUAAAGAGGAGAAAGGGAGGAGAGAGAGGAGAGAGGCGUCUAAAGAGGAGAAAGGGAGGAGAGAGAGGAGAGAGGUGUCUGAAGAGGAGAACGAGAGAGAGGAGAGAGAGGUGUCUAAAGAGGAGAACGAGAGAGAGAAAGGUGUCUAAAGAGGAGAGGGAGAGAGAGGAGAGAGAGGAGAGAGAGGUGUCUAAAGAGGGAGAGAGAGAGGAGAGAGAGGUGUCUAAAGAGGAGAAAGGGAGGAGAGAGAGGAGAGAGGUGUCUGAAGAGGAGAGAGAGAGGAGAGAGGUGUCUGAAGAGGAGAGAGAGGUGUCUGAAGAGGAGAGAGGUGUCUAAAGAGGAGAAAGGGAGGAGAGAGGUGUCUGAAGAGGAGAGAGAGGAGAGAGAGUGGUGUCUGAAUAGGAGAGAGAGGUGUCUGAAGAGGGGGGAGAGAGAGGUGUCUAGAGAGGAGAGAAAAGAGAGGAGAG